UACGGAGGGGGCUAGCGUUGUUCGGAAUUACUGGGCGUAAAGCGCACGUAGGCGGCUUUGUAAGUUAGAGGUGAAAGCCCGGGGCUCAACUCCGGAAUUGCCUUUAAGACUGCAUCGCUUGAAUCCAGGAGAGGUGAGUGGAAUUCCGAGUGUAGAGGUGAAAUUCGUAGAUAUUCGGAAGAACACCAGUGGCGAAGGCGGCUCACUGGACUGGUAUUGACGCUGAGGUGCGAAAGCGUGGGGAGCGAACAGG
rnacentral:rRNA from 1 species